rnacentral:rRNA from 1 species
UACGUAGGGGGCAAGCGUUGUCCGGAAUCAUUGGGCGUAAAGAGCGCGUAGGCGGCCCAGUAAGUCCGCUCUGAAAGUCAGAGGCUCAACCUCUGAAUGCGGGUGGAUACUGCUGGGCUAGAGUCCGGAAGAGGCGAGUGGAAUUCCUGGUGUAGCGGUGAAAUGCGCAGAUAUCAGGAAGAACACCCGUGGCGAAAGCGGCUCUCUGGAACGGUACUGACGCUGAGACGCGAAAGCGUGGGGAGCGAACAGG